UACGUAGGGGGCAAGCGUUUGUCCGGAUUUAUUGGGCGUAAAGAGCGUGUAGGCGGCUUUACAGGUCCGUUGUGAAAACUCGAGGCUCAACCCUCGAGACGCCGGGUGGAAACCGUAAAGCUAGAGUCCGGAAGAGGAGAGUGGAAUUCCUGGUGUAGCGGUGGAAAUGCGCAGAUAUCAGGAGGAACACCCGUGGCGAAAGCGGCUCUCUGGGACGGUACUGACGCUGAGAGCGAA
rnacentral:rRNA from 1 species